rnacentral:misc_RNA from 1 species
UUGUUCGCUAUUCGGAUUAUUUAUUGAGUACUGUGUGAAAUGAGGCGAUGUUUUUCGUCUGGGUAUUCCAAAAGUGUUGAUGCAAGUAUAACGUUACAUAUGAUACCUAAAAGCAUAGAGAGCGAAAAACUUGCAGGACGAAUAUAUUUGAAAUUAGUAGAUUAAGGCGAACAAAACGCACCUAGAGAGGAUCCACAGUUUUAACAGGUUCACAGAUCAGCCAUUUCUUCGCUUUAAUGGGUUUGGUCUCAUCAGAAGAUGGGGAGUUAGACAGCUUUUCCUUCCACAAGUUCAGUGGUCCUGUUAGUGGGGAAGCGAGAAGAAUUAUAGUUCCUAAUACAAACCAUAACCAACAGGGAAGCCAAAGCGUUGAUUUUAUAGCAAAACCAGAUUACUCAUUCACAUACGGAGUUCACGAUGGCGAAUCUGAAAACUCCCAGACACACCGCGAGUCUAGAAAUGGCGACGAAGUUCACGGAGAAUACAGGGUGUUGCAACCAGAUGGACUUGUGAGGAUAGUGCGGUACACAGCAGAUCCAUCAACAGGGUUCAAAGCUACGGUUGAGUACGCCCCACUCUGAUAUUUGAUUUGACCAAAACUUUAGGUAUUAUUUAUUCCAAAUUUUAUCCACCAGGGAAAAAAUAUAGGGCUGGGUUUGUUAGCCCAAAAAUGGACCGUGAUAAGAAAUAUGAAAAAUAUUACUCUUUUGUUAUUGUAUACUUUUUAUUCGAUAUGAUAUUAUGAAUAAGUCCGUGGAUAAAAACGGCUUGUGAAUUUGUGAUAUUUUUGUAGUAUAACAAGAAACAUAUGAUAUUUUUAAAUUCAAAGGGGCGUGUUGGAAUCUGUGAAAUGUAUUGAAACCAAAUGAUGAAUAAUAAGAUCAAAU